rnacentral:rRNA from 1 species
CACGUAGGGGGCGAGCGUUGUCCGGAUUUAUUGGGCGUAAAGAGCUCGUAGGCGGCUCACUAAGUCGGGUGUGAAACCUCCAGGCUCAACCUGGAGACGCCACCUGAUACUGGUGUGGCUAGAGUCCGGUAGGGGAGUGUGGAACUCCUGGUGUAGCGGUGAAAUGCGCAGAUAUCAGGAAGAACACCAGCGGCGAAGGCGGCACUCUGGGCCGGAACUGACGCUGAGGAGCGAAAGCGUGGGUAGCAAA